GACGAACGCUGGCGGCGUGCUUAACACAUGCAAGUCGAACGGUAAGGCCCUUCGGGGUACACGAGUGGCGAACGGGUGAGUAACACGUGGGUGAUCUGCCCUGCACUUCGGGAUAAGCCUGGGAAACUGGGUCUAAUACCGGAUAGGACCACUGCCUGCAUGGGCGGUGGUGGAAAGCUUUUGCGGUGUGGGAUGGGCCCGCGGCCUAUCAGCUUGUUGGUGGGGUGAUGGCCUACCAAGGCGACGACGGGUAGCCGGCCUGAGAGGGUGACCGGCCACACUGGGACUGAGAUACGGCCCAGACUCCUACGGGAGGCAGCAGUGGGGAAUAUUGCACAAUGGGCGCAAGCCUGAUGCAGCGACGCCGCGUGAGGGAUGACGGCCUUCGGGUUGUAAACCUCUUUCAGCACCGACGAAGCGCAAGUGACGGUAGGUGCAGAAGAAGGACCGGCCAACUACGUGCCAGCAGCCGCAGUAA
rnacentral:rRNA from 1 species